GGAGAGGUCGCAUAGUCUGGUCUAGUGCGCACGAUUGGAAAUCGUGUAGGCGUAACAGCCUCGCGGGUUCAAAUCCCGCCCUCUCCGCCU
rnacentral:tRNA from 2 species